GACGAACGCUGGCGGCGUGCUUAACACAUGCAAGUCGAACGAAGUGGCGAACGGGUGAGUAAUACGUGGGUAACCUGCCCUCCUUUUUGGGAUAAGCCUUGGAAACGGGGUCUAAUACCGAAUAAAGGGUGAUGGGCUAGCGGCCUGUGAGCUGGUUGGUGGGGUGAUGGCCUACCAGGGCGGUGACGGGUAGCCGGCCGGGGAUGGAGACCGGCAACAGUGCGACUGAGAGACGGCUCAGGCUGCUACGGGAGGCAACAGUGGGGGAUAUUGCACAAUGGGCGAGAGCCUGAUGCAGCUACGCCGCGUGGGGGAUGAAGGCUUACGGGUUGUAAACCUCUGUCGCUAUCGACCGGGUAGGUGGAGAAGAAGCGCCGGCUAACUACGUGCCAGCAGCCGCGGUAAUUC
rnacentral:rRNA from 1 species